GGCAGAUCUCCAGCUCGGGCAGUGGAACCCGGGGCGGAAGUUGGGAAGAGGAGUUCCCGUUCCUAAGGCGCUGGCAUCGCUCCUCCUGCUGCUUCCCUGUUCUGACCCAUUCCCGGCGACGGAGGAUGAAGGUGGCGAAAGAUGUUUGGACAGCCGUCGCUCUCCUCCAUGCUUUUCUCCUGCUGCUGGUUAGCUUGGAUGGUGAUGGUGUCACCUGGGGUCCUGGAAUCUCUGGGCCCGCAUCCUCAUUACCCGAGAAUUCGUUAGAACGACACAUUCACGACCACACCUAAACCUACAGAAUCAGAAACGCCACUAGUGGGGUCGGUCCUGAAACCUGGUUAACAAGCUCCCAAGGUGAAUCUGAUGGCCGCUUUCCCUAAGCAGUAGAGACCCUUUUUCGUGUAUGGUGCUGAAAAUUUAGCGUCCUCUGUCCCCAAAUACAGUGAAAAAUCGGA
rnacentral:lncRNA from 1 species